AGGAGGAGGAGGAGGAGGAGCGGGGGGAGGUGCAGGGCAUGACCCAUUGGACACUUAAAAGACAAAGAGAAGAAGAAAGAAAACGGGUAAUGCGUAAAUGUUUGUUACUGGUUCGUGGUGUACUAAAAGUUUAUCAUUUGGGAGUACUUGUAGUAUUUGGUGGCAGUAUUAGCAUCACUUUGCAGUACUAUUUCUUUUACUGCAGUGGGAACCCCUUUAUGCAUUUUAUGAUUGAACAUUGUGAUUGGUGGAGCUGAAACUCACCUAUGCCUGGCAUUGUUGGCGGAGGAGGUGGAGGGGGCGGGACCGGCAUCCCUGGAGCUCCGCCUAUCGCCGGUCCCAUGCUGUGAUAGGCUACGGUCUCAGGACUGUCGAAAUCAAUACGGUAAUCAAUCAACAAUCAACGAUCAUCAGUCAUUGGUUCAGGAAGAAAACGUUUUCCCCUUUUUGCAUUGAUUUGGACAUCUGACAUGUUGGCAUCGUAAAGUGAAGUCAUUUGUGGCUCAACACAGUACUUCAUGAUCAUCCCAUUCACAGUAUUGAUUAUGAGGGUGGGGUUCCUCAGGGUUCUGUUCUGGGUCCUUUUCACUUAGGAUUUAUUGCUGCGUACGUCUGAUGAACAUAAGUCUAGUAUUCACCACCAGAGAGAAAUAUAGCAGCUAGUCUCUGACAGCGGAGUAAACGGGGACGUCUCUCACCUGGGGGACAGGUUAGGACAAGGUGGAGGUGAGGGGGAGGCGGAGUCACCAACUCCCCCGUCUCCCUCUCCUCUCUGGGGUUGAGGAGCUCCGGGUCCUCCGGCCUGUUGGGCCUCCUGAGCCUGUCGCUCCAGACGACUCUGACGCCGGAUCGUCUGGUCCUUCUCCCGAACAAUCCGCCGCAAGGUGUGCACCUGAGAGUUACUGCUGGCAUACACCUCCUGCACAGGUAACAAUUGGGGAGUGGUUGUUGGGUAACAGGUGAGAAGUUAAAGGAACAUUCCAAUAUUUAGAUUUAGAAAUAUUUUCUCCGUUUCUUUUGUUCAGGUUCAGAAACCGAAAUGUAGACCCAUCUUUUUGCAAACAUCCCUCUCAUUAGCAUCAUCAUACACGGUGUCUGUCUCUAUGGUGACCAAAUGUUUGUGUGGUUUCCAUGGCAACAGCACUGACCCGGACGUUGUCCAGCUCCUUGUUGGUUUGCAUCAACUGUUUCUCCAGUUCAACAAUCUUCAGCAUCGCUUCAUUCUCCACGUCCAGGAGACGCUCCGACAUCUGAGGGAGACAGCAGACGCUUCAACAUCUGAGAACAGCGAGAGACAGAUUAGUACACCUGUCUGUCUCUCCACCUGUCUGUCUUACUGUGCCGAUGCUCUCCUCCAGCUCCUCGACUCGCUCCAGAGCAGCGGUUUUGGUCUCGGCGUCCUCCAGCAGCGUCCCGACGUCAAACACAUUGUCGAGAUAUGCCUGAAUCUGAACCUGAAGCCUGUCGCUCUCCGUGUGCUUCAGCCUCUGUUUUGAAGUUGUCGAAGGCUGACAGGAUGAUCUCAUGUCCUCCUCUGACCAAACACACCGCCGCCAACAACUCUAACACCAGAGCUUUCGUCCUGAUGAAGACAGGGAGAGAGAUGGGUCAGCAAAAGUAUGAACAGACUGGUGGAGAGACAGGCCGGCAGACAUUAGAGAGACGAGUGGAGAGACAGGCCAGCAGAUGACGAGUCGUGAAUUCUUCAGAGUUCGGCGACUCGGCAGAGUGUUGGAGCGAGUCACCAUCGCAGAGCUGCAAAUAUAAAGACAUCAGAUUAUUAUCUGCUUCUACAGCUGGUCCCUGGUCAGAUAUCAGGGUUGUAUUCAUGCUACCUGAUGGAGUGUCGAGCUGCUCUGGGAACAGAUGAAGACGGGGAUGGGAGGCUGCAGUCUCCAUGAAGGUCUUCUAUGGACCGACUCCAGGGAGAGUCGAUGGACGAGACUUCACCUCCAGACUCAGACGGCUCUCCAUCGAACCUGAACACACAAACGACAACAGGACCGGCUUCUGUUGAGUCUCAGCUGUUCAUACAACAUCUGAACAGUACACGACAACUAAUAACAGUUUCAACAAGUUUAAAGGUUCAAACUGUGAGAAUUCAAAUAAACAUUUCAAUAUGUAAUGAUGGAGUAUUUAGUUUGUUCAGACUCACGUGACGGCGUAUUGAGCGAAGGACAAAUACUCGACCAAAACAUCCAGACCUCGAUUCUCCUCAUUCAGAAACUCUCUGACCCACCUGCAGAGAGACAGACAGGGCAUCAGAGAGAGACAGACAGGUCCUCAGAGAGAGAGAGACAGGGACAGACAGGUCCUCAGAGAGAGAGAGAGACAGGGACAGACAGACAGACAGAGGUUAUGUGGAACAAGCUAAGCUAAAGGAACGAGUCCUAAAACCCUGAAAUGAAUCAGUAUUUUUACACUAACGAUUCCUUUCAGCAGAAAUUAAUGGAAUAUAUAUGUAAUUUCCAGGCGACAGAGUUUCAGAGAGACAGACAGGUACCCGAUGUGGUUUGUGCGAAGAGAAAUCUCGAGUUCUCGAAGCAUCUGAGUCGACUCCUGGACUCUUCUUCUGAACUUCUGCAGACAGACAGACAGCUCACCUUGCGUGUGACUGCCGGGUCGAGGAAGCCUCUGAGUUUCUGGAUGUAGGUGUGAGGAGGAUUCUUCACCUGAAACCGCUCCUAAAGCGUGAUGACAUCACAUGUGAGUCUCCGCCCACCAGAAACCUCAAAUCCACAUGACAACAUUUAUAAUAAGAAUGAAUUAUAAUGUAUAAUGUGUAAUAAGAAUGAAUUAUAAUGUAUCAUCUGUAAUAUGUGGCACAACGAUGUGUGUAAAACUACAGAAAGUCAUGAAAUCACAAAGUAACUGUUAAUAAUAUGAAAUAUUGUUAGUAAAUAUAACUCCUCUGUUUCUCUGAAGAGUCUCGGACCACCAAACUAAGUCCUGGUUCUAGAACAGAUUCAAACUCAUGAACUUUAUUAACACACUCACUUGAUCACAGAUCAGCUCCCACUUCUUGUCGUUGUCAUAGGAACGCAGCAGACGCACCUUGUCAGGAGGAAGAUUCAUCGAAUUCUGAAACACAAUUUGUCCAAAAAAUUGUUUAGAACUUAUGUGAACAUUCAGAACUGGUCCCCUUAAAUCCAGCCAGCUAUCCAAAACCUCCAAAAAAAAACAAAAAAACUUCAGACCCUCCAAGCCCCCCAGACCCUCCAAGUCCUCCUCCAAACCCCCCAGACCCCUAUUAGUUGUUACUGUUCUCCAAACUCCAGUAAACCAAAAGUAAAGGAACAUUUAAAAAUAAAGUCAAAGUAGGUCAGAAUGUGAAACGGAUCUGGUUCAGGUUCAGUGAAGACUUU